AGUGAAUGCUGGCGGCGUGCCUAAUACAUGCAAGUCGAACGGAGUGGCGCACGGGUGAGUAAUAUAUAGCUAAUCUGCCCCUUGCUGGAGGACAACAGGUAGAAAUGACUGCUAAUACCCCAUAUCAAGGGAUGAGACAAUAUCGUAUCAGCUAGUCGGUGGGGUAACGGCCUACCGAGGCUAUGACGCGUAACUGGUCUGAGAGGAUGAUCAGUCACAUUGGAAGUGAGACACCAGCAAGACUCCUACGGGAGGCGGCAUUAGGGAAUAUUGCGCAAUGGGUGAGACCCUGACGCAGCAACGCCUCGUGGAGAAUGACGAUUUUCGGAGCGUAAACGCCUAUUGUUAGGGGAGCGGUACCUAACGAAUAAGCACCGGCUAACUCCGUGCCAGCAGCCGCGGUAAUAC
rnacentral:rRNA from 1 species